UGUAUAAACUUGAUGUAAGAUUUAGUACUAGUUACAGAUUGAAGCAUCAUCCUUAUAGUCUAACAAAUAAUAUUAACUCAUUAACAGAUAACUAACAAAUAAUAUUUAUUUGAACAUUUAUUUUUUUUGGGGGGGAAUGGAUUGUCGAAAUCUGAAAAGCCUUAAGACUGAGCUAAAUACACAUUUAAUAAAAAAUUUAUGCACCUGUCCUACCUGAUUUUUUUUUUAUUAUCUUCUUAUACUAUUUUUUUCUAUAAUAAAGUUAUUGAGUUAAGAACCAGUUAAAACUUGGAUAGUAUUUGUAAAAUUUCAUUUAGGACGAAAUUAGCCCCUUCUGUAGUUGGAGUAAAAUUAACAGUUGAGUCUUGUAAUUAUGCUAACAAACUGUUGCUAGUAAAUCUUAUUUAUGUGAACUAGUCAUAUGGUUUGACAUGAUUCAUUUGAUAAUAUCCAUAUUCGACUAGUAGUAUUUUAUAGAAGCCCUGGCCUUCAUCAAUUCUGUGUGUUUGUCUCAUUGAUAAGCAGUAGAAUUACAAAGAUAGGUACUUUUUGAGAAAAUUCCUAAGAGUUUCACCCAGCUCUUCUUUGUCCUAUAUUGCUUUCUUUUCCACUUCUCCUCUUUUUUUCUCUUUCUGGAUCAUUUUCAACUGAACCCCUCUAAAAUUUCUUGGUUUUUCAGCAUACUAGUGGGAAAGGGUUAGAAAUAGAAGCAAAGACUCAGACUUUAGAGAUCAAAUUGAUGACCCUGAGCAAAGGAUAAUUAUUAUAUUCAUAUUAGAUUAAUAGCAAAAAGGUGGAGGUUUACAGCAAGCUGUAUUCAAAAGAAUACCCACAUAUGAACUGAUGGAAUUCUACUCUCUUUCCACGUCUUUAUUCUCCACAAAUCCCUAUUGUUUUGAAACCUUGUUCUUUCUUUCAUAAAAAAACUUGGCAGAAUAUUCAUGUUAAUCACAAUCUUUUAUGACCCGGUCAUUUUGAACUGCAUAGUAAGGUUGUAUAGAGAAGGAAUGAGAAGUUUUGCAGUGAACUCAACAUUAAUAAAUAUAAAGAAAGAAAGAAAGAAAGAAAGAAAGAAAGAGAGAGAGAGAGAGAGAGAGAGAGAGAGAGAGAGAAAGAAAGAAAGGUUAUAGAACCCUAACCUUGAGCUAUGAAGGAAAUAAUACCGUUUUCUCCUUAGUUUAUAAGUGAGGCCUAGAAAAGAUUACAUAUGUGACUUUUGUAAGUUUUCUAUUGAAUCUCACAUUUCAGUGUUAAUUAGAUUAGCUGGCUUAAUGGUAGACAGUAGGCGAGUAAAUUAGAAUUAAUUUUGUUUGUUUGUUUGUUUUUGUUUUUUGUUUUUCGAGACAGGGUUUCUCUGUGUAGCCCUGGCUGUCCUGGAAAUCACUUUUUAUUUUUAUUUAAUAAAGAAUGUUUAGCCUAUCCUUGGACUUCUGAUCUUGUUUAUCUUUUCCACUUGAGUGCUAAAAUUAUGUGUGUAUAACACUCCUAGCCAAUUCUUUUUUGUAAGCAAAAGUUUAUUCAUUAUUUUCAAUCAGUAUAACAACUCUUUCCCCCAACUGUUAUUUUUAGAAGAUCUGUCUCACAAGAGAAUAGUCAGUAUAAAAGUAUAAGGUACUAUUUUUUAAAAUUUGUAUGUACUAAGCAAUAAAUAAAUAAUAAAGAAAUAAAUCUACAAAUUCUACUAAAAAGGAAAAAACUCCAAUAUUUCUUUUGCUUUAUUUUGAAUGGUUUUGGCCUUUUUUUUUUAACGAGAAAAUUAUACAGAUAUAAAUACUAAUGAGAUCCCAGCUUCCAUUUGAACAACAAUCCUAGUGUAGAAGUUUUAACAGUCUUAAAAAAAAAAAAAAACAAAUAAAACAAAAAAAAAAAAACAAAAAACAGAUAUUCUUUGUAGGCUGUUGUGUUGGUUUAUUGGGUAAAGUCACUUGCCACCAGGCUUGAUGACUGAGUUUAAUCCACAAGACGUAAUUAACUCCUUGGCACAUGUUUUCUUCUACCACCAGCAAAUAAAUGGCACAUUUUUCUCCUCUUUUUAAAAAAUAAAGUGAUUUCAAGGAUAUAGCAUAUAUAAAAUCUUAAAACCUUUUUUUAAAAAGUGGAAUAAGAUCAGAUGUAUCCAGAGACAGUAUUGCCAUGUGCGAGAUGCUUUAGACUGCGUUCACAAUCUAAAAGCAGAAUUGCCCAGAAAAUAAAAACACAGCAACAGAAUUUAAGGUCUGGACUUUUAGGAGUUCAGACUAAGAAUUCUGAUAGGAAAAAAAAAAAAAAAGAAUUCUGAUAUGAAAAUGUAGUGGUCUGUUCUUUACAUGUUUUGGUACAUCUAUGCUACAAAUCAAUAUUUGGGAAACAACAGUUAGUACAGUUUAUAAGUAUAAAUUAUUGAAUAAUAUCCAUGUGUAGAAUAUUGCCAGUGUUUAAAACGAAUAAUGAAGUCAGUGUGACUAAAAUAGGAGUUGACAGUGGUAUGGGACAUGAAUAAAUUUAGUUAAGUUCUAGAAUUUUCCAUAGUUAACCAAAAAUAAUUGCUAAGUUGUAGAAUUGGAAAGAAAAGUCCAAAAACCCAGGAGCUGGCACACAUCGAUGAAGAAAAAGUUGUUUGAAUUACUUCCUCAAUUUCUCUGAAAGUCUAGAUGCAUUGUCUAGCUGAGCUUCCAUCAUUUCUCUUAGUAUAAAUACCUAUUGCAACAAGAACUUGAUUUAAAAAAAUCAUUUGACAUACAUUGCUUUAAUAAUGGAGUUUUUCUGUGCUGCUCUAGGUGUAAUUCAUUCAUUAAUAGAAUUGUACUUAAUGUGAUUUCUCUUAUUUAAAAUUAUUCUAAUAGAAAUUAAUGGAAGCCGGGCGUGGUGGCGCAAGCCUUUAAUCCCAGCACUCGGGAGGCAGAGGCAGGCAGAUUUCUGAGUUCGAGGCCAGCUACAGAGUGAGUUUCAGGAUAGCCUGGGCUACACAGAGAAACCCUGUCUCGUGU
rnacentral:lncRNA from 1 species